AUUGAACGCUGGCGGCAGGCUUAACACAUGCAAGUCGAGCGAGCGGCGGACGGGUGAGUAAUGUCUGGGAAACUGCCUGCUGGAGGGGGAUAACUACUGGAAACGGUAGCUAAUACCGCAUACCAUCUGAUGUGCCCAGCUGGGAUUAGCUAGUAGGUGGGGUAAUGGCUCACCUAGGCGACGAGCCCGAGCUGGUCUGAGAGGAUGACCAGCAAAACUGGAACGGAGACACGGUCCAGACUCCUACGGGAGGCAGCAGUGGGGAAUAUUGCACAAGGGGCGCAAGCCUGAUGCAGCCAUGCGGCGUGUGUGAAGAAGGCCUUCGGGUUGUAAAGCACUUUCAGCGAGGAGGCGUUACUCGCAGAAGAAGCACCGGCUAACUCCGUGCCAGCCGCCGCGGUAAUUC
rnacentral:rRNA from 1 species